rnacentral:tRNA from 2 species
GGGCCGGUAGCUCAAUAUAGAAGAGCGUUCCUCUUGCAAAGGAAAGGCUCUGGGUUCUAAUCCCAGCCGGUCCA